UACGUAGGGGGCAAGCGUUAUUCGGAAUUAUUGGGCGUAAAGAGCUCGUAGGCGGUGUGUCGCGUCGGCCGUGAAAACCUGCAGCUUAACUGUGGGCGUGCGGUCGAUACGGGCAUCACUGGAGUUCGGCAGGGGAGACUGGAAUUCCUGGUGUAGCGGUGAAAUGCGCAGAUAUCAGGAGGAACACCGGUGGCGAAGGCGGGACUCUGGGCCGAUACUGACGCUGAGGAGCGAAAGCGUGGGGAGCAAACAGG
rnacentral:rRNA from 1 species